rnacentral:rRNA from 1 species
AACGAACGCUGGCGGCAUGCCUAACACAUGCAAGUCGAACGAGACCUCCGGGUCUAGUGGCGCACGGGUGCGUAACGCGUGGGAACCUGCCUUUAGGUUCGGAAUAACUCAGAGAAAUUUGAGCUAAUACCGGAUGAUGUCUUCGGACCAAAGAUUUAUCGCCUUUAGAUGGGCCCGCGUUGGAUUAGCUAGUUGGUGGGGUAAAGGCCUACCAAGGCGACGAUCCAUAGCUGGUCUGAGAGGAUGAUCAGCCACACUGGGACUGAGACACGGCCCAGACUCCUACGGGAGGCAGCAGUGGGGAAUAUUGGACAAUGGGCGAAAGCCUGAUCCAGCAAUGCCGCGUGAGUGAUGAAGGCCUUAGGGUUGUAAAGCUCUUUUACCCGAGAUGAUAAUGACAGUAUCGGGAGAAUAAGCUCCGGCUAACUCCGUG